rnacentral:rRNA from 1 species
GAUGAACGCUGGCGGCGUGCCUAAUACAUGCAAGUCGAGCGAACAGACGAGGAGCUUGCUCCUCUGACGUUAGCGGCGGACGGGUGAGUAACACGUGGAUAACCUACCUAUAAGACUGGGAUAACUUCGGGAAACCGGAGCUAAUACCGGAUAAUAUAAUGAACCACAUGGUUCAAUAGUGAAAGACGGUUUUGCUGCCACUUAUAGAUGGAUCCGCGCCGCAUUAGCUAGUUGGUAAGGUAACGGCUUACCAAGGCAACGAUGCGUAGCCGACCUGAGAGGGUUAUCGGCCACGCUUGUACUGAAGCACGGACCAGAUUCCUUCGAGAGGCAGCAGUCGGGAAUCUGCCGCUAGGCGCGAAAGCCUGACGGAGAAACCCCGCUUGUGUUAUGCGUGUUUUCCGACCGUAAAACCCUGUGACAAGGGAAGAACAACUUUGUGCGGAACUAUUCACGUCUUGACGGUCCCUAACCAGAAAGCCCCGGCUAACGACUUG